AACGAACGCUGGCGGCAGGCUUAACACAUGCAAGUCGAGCGCCCUGCAAGGGGAGCGGCAGACGGGUGAGUAACGCGUGGGAAUCUACCCAUCUCUACGGAAUAACGCAUGGAAACGUGUGCUAAUACCGUAUACGUCCUUCGGGAGAAAGAUUUAUCGGAGAUGGAUGAGCCCGCGUUGGAUUAGGUAGUUGGUGGGGUAAAGGCCUACCAAGGCGACGAUCAAUAGCUGGUAGGAGAGGAUGAUCAGCCACACUGGGACUGAGAAACGGCCCGAAGUCCUACGGGAGGCAGCAGUGGGGAAUAUUGGACAAUGGGCGCAAGCCUGAUCAAGCCGUGCCGCGUGAGUGAUGAAGUCCCUAGGGUUGUAAAGCUCUUUCACCGGUGAAGAUAAUGACGGUAACCGGAGAAGAAGCCCCGGCUAACUUCGUGCCAGCAGCCGCGGUAAAAC
rnacentral:rRNA from 1 species